GUCGAGAAUCUUUCACAAUGGGGGCAACCCUGAUGGAGCGACGCCGCGUGGAGGAUAAGGUCUUCGGAUUGUAAACUCCUGUCAUGCGUGAACAAGGUUGCUUGGUUAAUACCUGGGCAAAUUGAUGGUAACGCAAGAGGAAGAGACGGCUAACUCUGUGCCAGCAGCCGCGGUAAUACAGAGGUCUCAAGCGUUGUUCGGAAUCACUGGGCGUAAAGGGUGCGUAGGUGGCGUGGUAAGUCAGAUGUGAAAGCCCGGGGCUCAACCUCGGAACUGCAUCCGAUACUGCCAUGCUAGAGUGCUGGAGAGGUGACUAGAAUUCUCGGUGUAGCAGUGAAAUGCGUAGAUAUCGAGAGGAAUACCAAAGGCGUAGGCAGGUCACUGGACAGUUACUGACACUGAGGCACGAAGGCCAGGGGAGCGAACGGGAUUAGAUACCCUAGUAGUCC
rnacentral:rRNA from 1 species